AACGAACGCUGGCGGCAGGCUUAACACAUGCAAGUCGAACGAGUGUAGCAAUACACUAGUGGCGCACGGGUGCGUAACGCGUGGGAACCUUCCUCGUAGUUCGGAAUAACUCAGGGAAACUUGGGCUAAUACCGAAUGCCUCCUUCGGGAGAAAGAUUUAUCGCUACGAGAUGGGCCCGCGUCAGAUUAGGUAGUUGGUAGGGUAAUGGCCUACCAAGCCGACGAUCUGUAGCUGGCUGAGAGGAUGAUCAGCCACACUGGGACUGAGACACGGCCCAGACUCCUACGGGAGGCAGCAGGUGGGGAAUCUUGGACAACGGGCNCAAGCCUGAUCCAGCCAUGCCGCGUGGGUGAAGAAGGCC
rnacentral:rRNA from 1 species